GACGAACGCUGGCGGCGUGCUUAACACAUGCAAGUCGAACGAUGAAGCCAGCUUGCUGGUGGAUUAGUGGCGAACGGGUGAGUAACACGUGGGCAACCUGCCCCCGGCUCUGGGAUAACUCCAAGAAAUUGGUGCUAAUACCGGAUAUUCACGCUUCCUCGCAUGGGGUUGUGUGGAAAGUUUUUCGGCUGGGGAUGGGCCCGCGGCCUAUCAGCUUGUUGGUGGGGUAAUGGCCUACCAAGGCGACGACGGGUAGCCGGCCUGAGAGGGUGACCGGCCACACUGGGACUGAGACACGGCCCAGACUCCUACGGGAGGCAGCAGUGGGGAAUAUUGCGCAAUGGGCGGAAGCCUGACGCAGCGACGCCGCGUGAGGGAUGACGGCCUUCGGGUUGUAAACCUCUUUCAGCAGGGACGAAGCGCAAGUGACGGUACCUGCAGAAGAAGCACCGGCCAACUACGUGCCAGCCGCCGCAG
rnacentral:rRNA from 1 species